UCGAGAAUCUUUCACAAUGGGGGAAACCCUGAUGGAGCGACGCCGCGUGGGGGAUGAAUGGCUUCGGCCCGUAAACCCCUGUCAUCUGCGAUCAAACCUUUUCGGUAAACAGCCGAAAAGCUGAUAGUAGUAGAAGAGGAAGGGACGGCUAACUCUGUGCCAGCAGCCGCGGUAAUACAGAGGUCCCAAGCGUUGUUCGGAUUUACUGGGCGUAAAGGGUGCGUAGGUGGCGGAGUAAGUUCGAUGUGAAAUCUCUGAGCUUAACUCAGAAACGGCAUUGAAUACUACUUUGCUUGAGGGUUGGAGGGGGGACUGGAAUUCUCGGUGUAGCGGUGAAAUGCGUAGAUAUCGAGAGGAACACCAGUGGCGAAGGCGAGUCCCUGGACAACUCCUGACACUGAGGCACGAAAGCUAGGGGAGCAAACAGG
rnacentral:rRNA from 1 species